rnacentral:rRNA from 1 species
UACGUAGGUGGCAAGCGUUGUCCGGAUUUAUUGGGCGUAAAGCGAGCGCAGGCGGAAGAAUAAGUCUGAUGUGAAAGCCCUCGGCUUAACCGAGGAACUGCAUCGGAAACUGUUUUUCUUGAGUGCAGAAGAGGACAGUGGAACUCCAUGUGUAGCGGUGGAAUGCGUAGAUAUAUGGAAGAACACCAGUGGCGAAGGCGGCUGUCUGGUCUGCAACUGACGCUGAGGCUCGAAAGCAUGGGUAGCGAACAGG